rnacentral:rRNA from 1 species
GACGAACGCUGGCGGCGUGCUUAACACAUGCAAGUCGAACGGAAAGGCCCUGCUGUUGUGGGGUUCUCGAGUGGCGAACGGGUGAGUAACACGUGAGUAACCUGGCCUUGACUUUGGGAUAACUUCAGGAAACUGGGGCUAAUACCGGAUAGGAGCUCCUGCUGCAUGGUGGGGGUUGGAAAGUUUCGGCGGUUGGGGAUGGACUCGCGGCUUAUCAGCUUGUUGGUGGGGUAGUGGCUUACCAAGGCUUUGACGGGUAGCCGGCCGGAGAGGGUGACCGGCCACAUUGGGACUGAGAUACGGACCAGACUCCUACGGGCGGCAGCAGUGAGGAAUAUUGCACAAUGGGCGGAAGCAUGAUGCAGCAACGCCGCGUGCGGGAUGACGGCCUUCGGGUUGUAAACCGCUUUCGCCUGUGACGAAGCGUGAGUGACGGUAAUGGGUAAAGAAGCACCGGCUAACUACGUG